GUCUGAGCUCCUGCCCCGUGCGUGGUGCUGACUGGGCGAGCUGAGGCUGGGCAAGGGCUCUGCUUGCACACAGGCUCGUGGCUGCCACAGCCCCAGCAGCUGCGGUGGAUCAUCAAGACAACAUAAUGCCUACCAUGACGGCUACAGGUCUGUUUUUCGGCAUGCCACCCUGUAUGGGGUGUGCCAAAGCAGCACGCACAUGGGACAGAUGAUGAACUUUUCUGCCUGAUUUAAAAGAAUCUUUGGGAUUAAGAACGCGGCCUUGUGGGAUUCACAGAGAUAAAGAUAAGCAAACACAUCAAGACGCUAUCAGUCAAAGAUUGUCUGUGGCUUCCUCCUUUCGCCUUGCUCUCCUCUGUGGCACAGCCCUCCUCCUGGUAGGAGGCUGCGAAGGCAGUUCAGGGAGCCUCAAGGAGAUGCCACCUCCGGCUGCUGCCUUGGUCCUACUGUCAGAGCCAGCUCUUCCCACCCGGAGCCCUCCGAGGGCUGCCUCCUCUGACUCGGAGCGGCCACAGAGGGGACCUGCCACCGAACACCCUCCCAACUAGCCUUCAUGGGUAAAAGCCAGUAAUUAGUGUGCCAUGUUUUGUUGUCAGCGUUAACGGAAGGGAGGCGUCCCACCUGACGUGGGUGUCAAAGAGCAGCACAUCCAAGGGCUCUGUUGCCCAACAGGGCUGUGCAGGGUAUCAUCUUCCUUCCUUUGCCCUUCUUGGAGGACUUCAGUGACAAUGUUCUUUUUUCCAGCUGAAAGAUGGAAACAGCUCUGCUCUUCAUGUCUCCCACUGGAAUUUUUCGACAGCAAAUGUGCACAGGGGAGUUUGAAGAGCCCACUGCUCUCACACCGCAGAUACAGAGAAAGGCAUGUGGGCUGGAAGAGCUUUCUAAGAAAACCUGGAACCUCCACGUCAUUGCUGUUGGGCCCUUUCUGAAUGAAAGCGAAGAGCUGAUCAGUCUCAGUGAGACUGGUUUUAUGGCAAAGGGAAUUUAAAUCCUAAGCAUUUUUCUUUUUGUUUCCAGAUUAUGCAGACUUUCCCAUUUGGUCACUGGUCUUUGUAUUGCAGAACUGUGCUAGGAAUGUAAAUUAGGAGUAGCAAUGAGCACAAUUGCUUCUGUGCCUAAGUAGGUGCUGAAGUUAUGGCCAUCAGAUGGAAGUUUUAAUUAUCAUUGAGAGACUAGAAUAGCAACAUUUCUCCUUUUGUAUCAGACUAUAAUUAUCUCAUUUUACACCUUUAUGGUCACUGCUUGUUUUCAUGGAAAGAUUUUGUGCAGUCCUUCAUGCAGUGAUAAAAAAAGAAUCAGAAACUACUAGCACCAUAAUUAGGACUGAAACUAGGAGAAAGCUCUUCCUAAUAACUGCAGAUAUGGUAAGCAAUUACAAUUUACAUUGGCUUUUUGUGUCCCCAUGAGUUUUACAAAAAGCAAACAAAUACAAACAGGUGCAGAACCCUCUACUUCCUUUUGCCAGGUCUGUCCCCUCCCCUCCCCUCCCCUCCUGGUUCCUGAAAACUGUGGCCACUCUAAGGGAAAGCUGUGGGCAGAGCAUAGCUGUAUACCAAGUGUUGCUAGACCUCUCCAGAACGUAAUGUAGGCAUGAGCCACUCUGGAGCUCAUUCCUUGUGCUCCCUCCUCACCCUGUGCUAGACCCUCAGGCAAUGUCCUGAGACAGGAAGAAAACUGCAGGUGUAAGGAAAAGAAGUAGUGCCACUCCUUUACCUGGGGUAAAGUUGAGCUCUUUGCUUUUUUUCUUCCUCUCCCCACAUAAGCAGGAAAACCUGCAAGGCAGACAGAUGCAGCUUUUAAAAUAAUUGUUUUCAAGUAAAGCUCAAAGGUACAAAUGAGCUGGGAUGACUUCCAUGGAAGAAAAAGGGCAGUCAGGUCUGGGCUCCUCCUUUUCCUGCUUUCUGCCAUCUCCUGUCCUGCAAAAGUGGCAUUCCCUGACUCUGUCCCUUGCCCUGCCUGGCUGAUGGGGGACCCUGGUUCAUGGGGAAAAGGAGCCACCCCUUCCUGCUCAGCAGCCAGCAAGGAUGGAAUAGCUGCACUGGCCAGAGCCAGAGGGCCCUGGGAGUGGGAGUCCUCAACGCUAAGGAUAUUGUGGAGCUAUGAGAAGCCAACACGGUGCCGUUUUCCAUUGAAUCCUCCUGCAAAGUACGUCCCUGGGCUGGGAUCCAUCACAACCUCCCUGAUUUCAAGGCAGUGCACAAGUGGUUUCAGCAAUUAAAAAAUUAUGAGAAUGUGUCAAAAAUAAGGGUUUCCGCUGGGGAGGGGUGCAAGCCUACUUUGUCUUUUAGGGACAAUUAUGUAACAAAACAAGAGUUUCAUGUUUCGAUCACCUAGCAUACACUUUGAGAUCUGGUGCCGCACUCAGGCAGAUCUGAAGGCUUAGCGGUUUGAGACCAUCUGACAGACCAAGUAAUACAUGUUAUCACUCUGUCCUUUCAGUGAUGACUCAGACAUCAAGAAUUUUCCACUUUCAUGAUUUUUCUUUCUAUUUGGGUUUAUAUGACAUGUUAACAUACCAAUAAAAAAGUAAAAAGUUAACAGAAAUAUGUGCUUAUCAUUAAUAUCAGUGUUGAAUGAUUUAUUUAAGUAAGACAAGAGUGCUUUUUCUCUUUCUUUCUCUCCUCCCCUGCAUUUCCAUGGAAUAAGAAUUUGGUAAUAUGCCUGAAAACCUUCUUUUAAAAUGUUGCUUCAGAAUCAGUGACUAGAAAGAUCAGAACAUUUCCUGAAACUCUGUGGUUUGCGUAAGGUCACAGUAAAGAUCAAAUGGAAAAACUGCAGUGUGUACCAGUUGAGAUGUAUGAGUUUUUUGACCACUAAAUUUGGUCCUAUGUCAUUUUGAAUAUUUCCCGGGAAAAGAAUAUAAUUAAGACACCUCUAUAUAUUUUAACAUGCAUAUAUGUAUGUGUAUAUACAUAUCCAUAUAAAUAGUAUGUGCAAAGAUUUCACUUAUUUCAGCUGCAACUACAAAAAAUGAAGUUACUUUAGAAAAUUAACACUUAAUAAAAUGAGAGGUUUUUUUGA